UUGUUAAAUGAGUGUUAUGUAGAGUUCAAACAUUAAAAAAAAUUGUGAGUUUGAAUUGAAUUUGAUAAGAGUAAUGGCUGUUAGUGGAAUUAAAUGUUUUGUUGUGAUGAUGUUAAUGGUAAUGUUUGUUGUAAGACAUGCUGAAUGCAUUACUCCAUCUCAAGAUUUUAAGUUAAACAAGAUUCACCAGCCUUUUUGCGAAAUAAUAUGUACCAUUUUAUGUUAUGGAAACCUUUAUAAAACCGAUUAUAAAGCGUGUAAGAGUUCAUGUAAAGAAGAUACAUGCCACCUACAACAAUAAUCUUUGUGUGCGCGUGCAUGCCAUGCAUUGCUUCAAUCUUGAAAAGUUGCAAGAAUAAUAAAUAAAUAUUUCGUAUGCUUUAAGAGAUCCUAUCUAGUUGAAUUAUGUCGAUUUUAAAUAAAUAUAUUAUUAUUCAUAAUGUCUUUUUCUUAAUUUAAAAAAAAUAAUUGAAAGUUUGUUAUUUAUUUA